rnacentral:sRNA from 1 species
AUGUACCCCCCCGCACGCUCCGUUCCUCCGCGCCGUCCGCGCCCCCAGACAAUUGCUCGCUACGUUUUGUUAGCU